rnacentral:rRNA from 1 species
AUUGAACGCUGGCGGCAUGCCUUACACAUGCAAGUCGAACGGCAGCACGGGAGCAAUCCUGGUGGCGAGUGGCGAACGGGUGAGUAAAGUAUCGGAACGUGCCCAGUCGUGGGGGAUAACGUAGCGAAAGUUACGCUAAUACCGCAUACGAUCUAUGGAUGAAAGCGGGGGAUCGCAAGACCUCGCGCGAUUGGAGUGGCCGAUUUCAGAUUAGGUAGUUGGUGGGGUAACGGCUCACCAAGCCGACGAUCUGUAGCUGGUCUGAGAGGACGACCAGCCAAACUGGGGCUGGGGAACGGCCCAGAUUCGUACGGGAGGCAGAAGUGGGGAAUUUUGGACAGUGGGCGAAAGCCUGGUCCAGCCAUGCCGCGUGCAGGAUGAAGGCCUUCGGGUUGUAAACUGCUUUUGUACGGAACGAAAAGGUUAGACUUAAUACGUUGGACUCAUGACGGUACCGUAAGAAUAAGCACCGGCUAACUACGUGCCAGCCGCCGCAGUAA